rnacentral:tRNA from 1 species
GAGGGUAUAGCUCAGGGGUAGAGUGUGUGCUUAGCAUGCACGAGGUCCUGGUUUCAAUCCCCAGUACCCCCA